rnacentral:rRNA from 1 species
AUGAACUCCAUCUUUGUGCUCUACAGUCGUAAGUUUGUCAUUGUAUUUCUUGAUGAUAUCCUUGUCUUCAGAACUGACUUGCAGGACCUACGGCUGGUGCUCGACACGCUUCACCAACACGAGCUCUACACCAAGCCAUGCAAGUGCUUGUUCGCGCAACCCAUUAUCGAGCACCUUCGCCACAUCAUCUCCAAGGAGGGUGUCGCCACCGGCGCAAGCAAGAUCAGCGCCAUGCAAGCAUGGCCCGUGCCCAGCAACGCCACCAAGCUGCGCGGGUUCGUUGGACUCACGAGCUACUACCGGAAGUUCGUCGCCAACUAUGGAGUGCUCGCCAAGCUGCUCACCCAGCUCCUCACCAAGAAAGGGUUCUAG